GACUGAGGUGGCAAGCGUUAUCCGGAAUUAUUGGGCGUAAAGGGUACGUAGGCGGCUGGUCAAGUCUGGGGUCAAAGGCCACAGCUCAACUGUGGAAAGGCCCUGGAAACUGACCGGCUAGAGUGAGGUAGGGGUUGCGGGAAUUCCCGGUGUAGCGGUGAAAUGCGUAGAGAUCGGGAAGAACACCUGAGGCGGAAGCGCGCAACUGGGCCUCAACUGACGCUGAGGUACGAAAGCUAGGGGAGCGAAUGGG
rnacentral:rRNA from 1 species